rnacentral:rRNA from 1 species
UACAGAGGUGGCAAGCGUUGUUCGGAAUUACUGGGCGUAAAGGGCGCGUAGGCGGCCUUGUAAGUCCUGUGUGAAAUCCCCCGGCUCAACUGGGGAACUGCACAGGAGACUGCUUGGCUUGAGUUCGGGAGAGGGAAGCGGAAUUCCGGGUGUAGCGGUGAAAUGCGUAGAUAUCCGGAGGAACACCAGUGGCGAAGGCGGCGAUCUGGGAAGAUACUGACGCUGAGGUGCGAAAGCGUGGGGAGCAAACAGG